rnacentral:rRNA from 2 species
CCCACCUGACCCCAUGCCGAACUCAGAAGUGAAACGCCGUAGCGCCGAUGGUAGUGUGGGGUCUCCCCAUGCGAGAGUAGGACACUGCCAGGC